AAUGAACGUUGGCGGCGUGGAUUAGGCAUGCAAGUCGCGCGAUAAGUCCCCGCAAGGGGACGGAAAGCGGCGAAAGGGACAGUAAUGCGUAGAUACCUACCCUCGGGCUCGGGAUAGCUGCGGGAAACUGCAAUUAAUACCGAAUAACGUCUCCGGACCAAAGGUGUGAUUCCGCCUGGGGAUGGGUCUGCGUCCUAUUAGCUAGUUGGCGUGGUAACGGCACACCAAGGCAAAGAGGGGUAGCAGGUGUGAGAGCACGACCUGCGUCACUGGGACUGAGACACGGCCCAGACACCUACGGGUGGCUGCAGUCGAGGGUCUUCGGCAAUGGGCGCAAGCCUGACCGAGCGACGCCGCGUGCGGGAUGAAGGCCUUCGGGUUGUAAACCGCUGUCAGAGAGGCGGAAAUAUAGGGGGGUUCUCCCUUCUAUUUGACCUAUUCUCAGAGGAAGUGCGGGCUAAGUCCGUGCCAGCAGCAGCCGCAG
rnacentral:rRNA from 1 species